GGUGGCCUGGCUAAUGGUUAGCGCAUUGGACUCUGGAUCGAGUGGUCUGGGUUUAAGCCCUGACCAGGGUCAUUG